rnacentral:rRNA from 1 species
GACGAACGCUGGCGGCAUGCCUAAUACAUGCAAGUCGAGCGAACAGAUGAAGUGCUUGCACUUCUGACGUUAGCGGCGAACGGGUGAGUAACACGUAAGGAAUCUACCUAUAAGCGGGGGAUAACAUUCGGAAACGGGUGCUAAUACAGCAUAAUAUCUUCUUCCGCAUGGAAGAAGAUUGAAACACGGCUCUGCUGUCACUUCUCCAUGACCUUGCGGUGCAUUAGUUAGUUGGUGGGGUAAUGGCCUACCAAGACGAUGAUGCAUAGCCGACCUGAGAGGGUGAUCGGCCAGAUUGGGACUGAGACACGGCCCAAACUCCUACGGGAGGCAGCAGUAGGGAAUCUUCCGCAAUGGGCGAAAGCCUGACGGAGCAAUGCCGCGUGAGUGAAGAAGGCCUUCGGGUCGUAAAACUCUGUUAUAAGAGAAGAACAAAUUGUAGAGUAACUGCUACAGUCUUGACGGUAUCUUAUCAGAAAGCCACGGCUAACUACGUGCCAGCCGCCGCCGUAA